GGAGGAUUAGCUCAGCUGGGAGAGCAUCUGCCUUACAAGCAGAGGGUCGAGCAUCUGACU
rnacentral:tRNA from 1 species